AAGUAAGAUAGCUUAGCAAAAGUCUUAUCUGGAACGAUACCUCUCUUCCCAGGUGAUCUCCGAGACGAUCCCAGCGCUGCUUGGCUUGAAACGACAAGGCAAAGUCCGCUUCAUUGGAAUGAGCGGACUUCCACUGGCCAUCUUUCGCUACGUCUUGGACAGAGUCGAGCCUGGAACAAUCGACGUUAUUCUAUCAUACUGCCACUACUCCCUCAACGAUUCCUCGCUCGAGGGUCUAAUUCCGUACCUCAAGGACAAAGGAGUCGGGAUCAUCACUGCUUCGCCACUCGCCAUGGGAUUACUCACGGAGUCUGGUCCUCCGCAGUGGCAUCCAGCGCCGGAAGAAAUCAAGGUACUGCUAAGUUAUAGAACUUCGGUGUGGAAACCUUUCUUCUUCUUUUUCGUAGGAAGCUUGCGCCAAGGCUGCUACUCACUGCAAACUCAAGGGUCAGAACAUCUCGGAGAUGGCAUUGAAGUUCUCCCUCUCAAAUCCAGAUAUCGCAAUCACUCUAGUUGGAAUGUGUACUACCCAGCAAGUCCACGAGAACAUCAAGGCAAUGGACAAUCUCGAAAGGAGCUCUG
rnacentral:lncRNA from 1 species